rnacentral:rRNA from 1 species
GCUUACGGCCAUACCACCCUGAAUGCCCCCGAUCUCGUCUCAUCUCAGAAGCUAAGCAGAGUCAGUCCUGGUUAGUACUUGGAUGGGAGACCGCCUGGGAAUACCAGGUGCUGUAAGCU